UUACGGUCAUAUCAUCUCGAAAUAUCAAUUCUCGUACGAUCACCGAAGUUAAGCAUGGUUAAACUUGGUCAGUACCUAGAUAGGUGACUGCUAGGUAAUACCAGGUGCUGUAAG